ensembl:miRNA
GGGCGGGCGGCCGUUAAGACUUGCAGUGAUGUUUAACUCCUCUCCACGUGAACAUCACAGCAAGUCUGUGCUGCUUCCCGUCCCCACGCUGCC